GCUAUUGGAGUUCGAUUAAGCCAUGCGAGUCGAGAGUCCUCGGGACUCGGCGUACCGCUCAGUAACACGUGGGUAACCUGCCCUAUGCUGGGGAAUAACCUCGGGAAACUGAGAAUAAUGCCCCAUAGCCCACUACGCCUGGAACGGUGAGUGGGUCAAAGCUCCGGCGGCAUAGGAUGGGCCUGCGCCGUAUCAGGUUGUAGGGGGUGUAAAGUACCCUCUAGCCAUCAACGCGUACGGGUGUUGGGAGACAUUGCCCGGAGAUGGAUUCUGAGACACGAAUCCAGACCCUACGGGGUGCAGCAGGCGCGAAAACUUGGCAAUGCGAGCAAUCGUGACCAGGGAACUCCAAGUGCGUAGGGUAAGACCUACGCUUUUCUUGACUCUUCAAAGGUCUUGGAAUAAGGGGUGGGUAAGGACGGUGCCAGCCGCCGCGGUAAUACCGGCGCCUCAAGUGGUAGUCGCUUUUAUUGGGCCUAAAACGUCCGUAGCCGGUCUGGUGCAUUCGUGGGUAAAUCAACCCGCUCAACGGGUUGAAUUCUGCGAGCACGGCCAGACUUGGGACCGGGAGAGGUGUGGGGUACUCUCAGGGUAGGGGUAAAAUCCUGUCAUCCUGAGAGGACCACCUGUUGCGAAGGCGCCACACUAGAACGGAUCCGACGGUCAGGGACGAAACCUAGGGGCACGAACCGGAUUAGAUACCCGGGUAGUCCUAGGUGUAAACGCUGUGGACUUGAUGUUGGGGGCGCUCCGAGCGCUCUCAGUGUCGAAGCGAAGGUGAUAAGUCCACUGCCUGGGGAGUACGGUCGCAAGGCUGAAACUUAAAGGAAUUGGCGGGGGAGCACUGC
rnacentral:rRNA from 1 species